AGUCGUAACAAGGUUUCCGUAGGUGAACCUGCGGAAGGAUCAUUACCGAGUGUAGGGUUCCUAGCGAGCCCAACCUCCCACCCGUGUUUACUGUACCUUAGUUGCUUCGGCGGGCCCGCCAUUCAUGGCCGCCGGGGGCUCUCAGCCCCGGGCCCGCGCCCGCCGGAGACACCACGAACUCUGUCUGAUCUAGUGAAGUCUGAGUUGAUUGUAUCGCAAUCAGUUAAAACUUUCAACAAUGGAUCUCUUGGUUCCGGCAUCGAUGAAGAACGCAGCGAAAUGCGAUAACUAGUGUGAAUUGCAGAAUUCCGUGAAUCAUCGAGUCUUUGAACGCACAUUGCGCCCCCUGGUAUUCCGGGGGGCAUGCCUGUCCGAGCGUCAUUGCUGCCCAUCAAGCACGGCUUGUGUGUUGGGUCGUCGUCCCCUCUCCGGGGGGGACGGGCCCCAAAGGCAGCGGCGGCACCGCGUCCGAUCCUCGAGCGUAUGGGGCUUUGUCACCCGCUCUGUAGGCCCGGCCGGCGCUUGCCGAACGCAAAUCAAUCUUUUUCCAGGUUGACCUCGGAUCAGGUAGGGAUACCCGCUGAACUUAAGCAUAUCAAUAAGCGGAGGA
rnacentral:misc_RNA from 1 species